CCUACGGGAGGCAGCAGUGGGGAAUAUUGCGCAAUGGGCGAAAGCCUGACGCAGCGACGCCGCGUGAGGGAUGAAGGUCUUCGGAUCGUAAACCUCUGUCAGCAGGGAAGAACGGUCACUGUGCUAAUCAGCAGUGAAUUGACGGUACCUGCAAAGGAAGCACCGGCUAACUCCGUGCCAGCAGCCGCGGUAAUACGGAGGGUGCGAGCGUUAAUCGGAAUUACUGGGCGUAAAGCGCUCGUAGGAGGUAUGUCAAGUCAAGGGUGAAAUCCCCGCGCUCAACGUGGGAACUGCCUUUGAAACUGGCAAACUGGAGUGUGUGAUAGGAUAGUGGAAUUCCAGGUGUAGGGGUGAAAUGCGUAGAUAUCUGGAGGAACAUCAGUGGCGAAGGCGACUAUCUGGCACAUAACUGACGCUGAGGAGCGAAAGCGUGGGUAGCAAACAGGAUUAGAUACCCUUGUAGUC
rnacentral:rRNA from 1 species